UACGUAGGCAGCAAGCGUUGUUCGGAAUUACUGGGCGUAAAGAGUGCGUAGGCGGUGCUCUAAGUCUGUUGUGAAAUCUCCCGGCUUAACUGGGAGGGUGCGGCGGAAACUGGAGUGCUUGAGGGUGGGAGAGGUAAGCGGAAUUCCUGGUGUAGCGGUGAAAUGCGUAGAUAUCAGGAGGAACACCGGUGGUGUAGACGGCUUUCUGGACCGUAACUGACGCUGAGACACGAAAGCGUGGGUAGCAAACAGG
rnacentral:rRNA from 1 species